rnacentral:lncRNA from 10 species
CUCACAGACACUGCAAGAAACAAUACCUUACUAGCCACCUGGGUAUCCUUCAAUGCAGUCAAGUGAACACCUGUUAUUAAUCAUCACACAGGACUAUAGGUCCAAGUGUUUGGGGGAUGUGAAUUAACUGAUAAUAGACAGAUUCACAGGAGAAAAAUGCAUUACCUAUGUUGGAGUAUUUGUCAGCAAGUAACUGGAAGAAUAGCCUAAGAGCAAGAGUGAACAGAACACUGACUAAUGGAAUUGCUAAUGGUUCCUUCCUACUGAGGCCAUUAAUCAUAACAAAGCAUGUAAAGUGCAGAUUUGCUGAGUGCAAGAUGAAUACAUAAUUGACUAUAUUUCCAUCACCCCUCCUUUUCACAUGCCAGAUGUGGAUUCACAAGAGGAAUACUUAUGCAAAUAAUACCAAAGUUAAGAAAUGGUGUCAUAUGGUGACAUUUCCAAGGCCCUCUGAUGGCCCUGAAUAAUCCAUAUAUCCUCCAUCCUUCAUCCUCUCCAAAGGUCAUUAUGUGAAAUGAUGAAAUGCAUCGUCAUAAAAAAGUGCAAGAACUUGAACCUGAGAAGAAAAAUAUAAAAGGAAAAAUAUUCUAGAGUCAGAUGUGGAAAUCACCAUGUCAGAUUAUGAAGCUGGAAUUUAUUCUUUGAAAAAUAGAAGAAAACAAGAUAAAAUUAUGAAGGAUGCAUUGCUGCUGCUUUAACAAUACUCAGAGAUGUUAUCACCAAAAACCAUCACCAACUGUCACAUUAGGCAGUCCCUACAAGGAGAGCAUUGCCUUCUGGCGUAUUGUGACAAGCUUAUCUGCAUGCAUGCACAAGUUCAUAUAGGACUGACAUUUUUGAAAGAACACCACAGCUUGAGAAAUAGAAAGAAGCUUUAGAUCAUCCAAUCCAGCUACCAUGUGAAGACGUGUUUGCUUCCCCUUCUGCCAUGAUUGUAAGUUUCCUGAGGCCUCCCCAGAACUGCAGAACUGUGAGUCAAUUAAACCUCUUUAAUUUAUAAAUUAUCCAGUCUUGGAUAUGUCUUUAUUAGCAAUGUGAGAAUGGACUAAUAUGCUUGUUUCAAUAGUUUCAUUGUAAUUAACUGCAUUAGG